UACAGAGGUCUCAAGCGUUGUUCGGAUUCAUUGGGCGUAAAGGGUGCGUAGGUGGCGCCGUAAGUCGGGUGUGAAAUCUCGGAGCUUAACUCCGAAACUGCAUUCGAUACUGCCGUGCUUGAGGACUGGAGAGGAGACUGGAAUUUACGGUGUAGCGGCGAAAUGCGUAGAUAUCGUAAGGAAGACCAGUGGCGAAGGCGGGUCUCUGGACAGUUCCUGACGCUGAGGCACGAAGGUCAGGGGAGCAAACGGG
rnacentral:rRNA from 1 species